AGCAGCCGCGGUAAUUCCAGCUCCAAUAGCGUAUAUUAAAGUUGUUGCAGUUAAAAAGCUCGUAGUUGAAUUUCGGGAUCAAUUAAUUGGUCGUGCCUCUGGUACGCACUGGUUUUAUUGGUUUCUCCCUUCUGACGAACCACGAUGUCAUUAAUUUGGUGUCGUGGAGAAUCAGGACUGUUACUUUGAAAAAAUUAGAGUGUUUAAAGCAGGCUAACGCUUGAAUACAUUAGCAUGGAAUAAUGAAAUAGGACGUUUGAUCCUAUUUUGUUGGUUUCUAGGAUCGACGUAAUGAUUAAUAGGGAUAGUUGGGGGCAUUAGUAUUCAAUUGUCAGAGGUGAAAUUCUUGGAUUUAUUGAAGACUAACUACUGCGAAAGCAUUUGCCAAGGAUGUUUUCAUUAAUCAAGAACGAAAGUUAGGGGAUCGAAGACGAUCAGAUACCGUCGUAGUCUUAACCAUAAACUAUGCCGACUAGGGAUCGGAUGAUGUUAAUUUUUUCAAUGACUCAUUCGGCGCCUU
rnacentral:rRNA from 1 species